CGGGUGAGAAACCCGUCCGCCGAAUGAUCAAGGGUUCCAGGGUCAAGCUAAUCUGCCCUGGGUAAGUCGGGACCUAAGGCGAGGCCGACAGGCGUAGUCGAUGGACAACGGGUUGAUAUUCCCGUACCGGCGAAGAACCGCCCAUACUGAUCUUGCGAUGCUAACCACCCCAGACAUUCCAUCGUGUUCCUUCGGGAACGCACCGGUUUGCGAGGCGUGGGACCCGAGCUUGAAAGGUAAGCGUAUUAACAGGUGUGACGCAGGAAGGUAGCCGGGCCAGGCAAUGGAAUUGACCUGGUCUAAGGGUGUAGGGCGUUUCGUAGGCAAAUCCGCGAAACAUAUAGCCUGAGACCUGAUGGGCGCCCCUUUAGGGGGGUGAUCCGGUGAUCCUAUGCUGCCAAGAAAAGCAUCGACGCGAGGUUCUAGCCGCCCGUACCCCAAACCGACACAGGUGAUCUGGUAGAGAAUACCGAGGCGAUCGAGAGAAUCAUGGUUAAGGAACUCGGCAAAAUGCCCCCGUAACUUCGGGAGAAGGGGGGCCCCAACCGUGAAACCCACUAGCUGGGUGGAGGCGGAUCGGGGCCGCAGAGACCAGGGGGAAGCGACUGUUUACUAAAAACACAGGUCCGUGCGAAGUCGCAAGACGAUGUAUACGGACUGACGCCUGCCCGGUGCUGGAAGGUUAAGAGGACCGGUUAGCCGCAAGGCGAAGCUGAGAAUUUAAGCCCCAGUAAACGGCGGUGGUAACUAUAACCAUCCUAAGGUAGCGAAAUUCCUUGUCGGGUAAGUUCCGACCUGCACGAAUGGAGUAACGACUUCCCUACUGUCUCAACCAUGAACUCGGCGAAAUUGCAGUACGAGUAAAGAUGCUCGUUACGCGCAGAAGGACGGAAAGACCCCGUGACCUUUACUAUAGUUUGGUAUUGGUGUUCGGUGCAGCUUGUGUAGGAUAGGUGGGAGACUUUGAAGCGGACACGCUAGUGUUCGUGGAGUCAUCGUUGAAAUACCACUCUGGCUGUAUCGGAUUCCUAACCUCGGCCCGUGAUCCGGGUCAGGGACAGUGCCUGAUGGGUAGUUUAACUGGGGCGGUUGCCUCCUAAAAAGUAACGGAGGCGCCCAAAGGUUCCCUCAGCCUGGUUGGCAAUCAGGUGGCGAGUGUAAGUGCACAAGGGAGCUUGACUGCGAGAGUGACAGCUCGAGCAGGGACGAAAGUCGGGACUAGUGAUCCGGCGGCACGUUGUGGAACGGCCGUCGCUCAACGGAUAAAAGGUACCUCGGGGAUAACAGGCUGAUCUUGCCCAAGAGUCCAUAUCGACGGCAUGGUUUGGCACCUCGAUGUCGGCUCGUCGCAUCCUGGGGCUGGAGUAGGUCCCAAGGGUUGGGCUGUUCGCCCAUUAAAGCGGCACGCGAGCUGGGUUUAGAACGUCGUGAGACAGUUCGGUCCCUAUCCUCUGCGCGCGUAGGAAAUUUGAGAAGGGCUGUCCUUAGUACGAGAGGACCGGGACGGACGAACCUCUGGUGUGUCAGUUGUACUGCCAAGUGCAUCGCUGAUUAGCUACGUUCGGAUGGGAUAACCGCUGAAAGCAUCUAAGCGGGAAGCCUGCUUCAAGAUAAGAUUUCCAUACACCAUUUGGUGUGAGAGGCCCCCAGCUAGACCACUGGGUUGAUAGGCAGGAUGUGGAAGCGAGAACUAAAGACUCGUGAAGCUGACCUGUACUAAUAGGCCGACAACUUACAACA
rnacentral:rRNA from 1 species